CACAGUAGUGUAUAUUUGCUUUCGGUUUCAGUUUAGAGUCUCAUGUCAGUAGGUGGCGGUAUCAGCAUCUUGCAGAAAACCUGGAAGGUGGUAGGAGAAGAUUAAUACUGUGAAGGGACACUGAAAUAAAAGUGGAGCUACGCAACUAUAAACUGAAUUUUUUUGCAGAAUUCAAUUGAUUGAAGAGAAAUGGGACAUUCGGGGUCCAAAUCAUCGUUGCCACCACCAGAAAGACCAGAAUUUACCAGCCCAUGGAGGCCCAUGACUUGGGAUAAACGUGAAAUUGAGCAGAAACUGAGGAACUUCAGUCUGAACAAAUCAAGUUUGUCAGGAUUCUGGUUGUUGGUGAAGUUGGAGCAGGAAAGUCCAGUUUUAUAAACUCAGUCAUUAAUACUUUCCAAAGAAGAGUCACCUCUAGGGCUCUAGUUGAUGGAAUAGGUGGAACCAGUUUCACAAAGUUGUGAGUAUUUGUUUCAUUGUUAUUACAUCAUUUACAGCUGCUUGGGGUACACUUUGAUUUUUAUUUAGUCACCAGUAACAAAUGAACAGAAACAAUAAUAUAUUUGAGUUUGUCUUUUAGUAUAAAACCCAUUACAUUGAAGGAGAGGAUGGUUCCCCUUUGCCUUUUGUCUUCAAUGAUAGUAUGGGACUUGAACGUGAAGAAGGUGGUGCACGUUCAGAAGACAUCAUCAGUGCCAUGAAAGGGUUUCUUCAGGAAGGACACAAAGUGAAAAGAGCCUUGAAAGCUUGACUAUAAGAUGUAUAAUAUACUGAAGAAAUUGAUAUUUGCAUAUUAACACAUGAAUUACAGACCUAUUUAUUAUUUCUUCCAUGCACACAUUCAGUUUAAUCCCCUAAGCCCGGUGUCCCCAAAUGAUCCUGGCUACAGGAGCAACCCAAGUACUGAGGAUCAAACCUUCUGCCUUGUCAACAUUAUAGCAGCUGACAAAGUAUCACUGAUGCAUGAUGAUGUCUUUGCUAAACUAAAAAGAAUUCGUGAGGAAGCAACAAAUCUGAACCUACCUCAGGUAAUCAUCAUGACAAGACCAGAUAUAGCAUGCCCACUAGUUCACAGUGACCUAAGGAAGCUCUACUACAGCAGGAAAAUCAAAGACAAGAUGCAGGAGUGUAGUAAUCGGCUGGGUAUUCCAAUGAAUCACAUCUUCCCUGUGAAGAACUACCAUGAGGAGAUAGACACAAUGAAUGACAUGGAUUUUCUGAUCCUCAAGGCACUUGAUCAGAUUGUGAACGUUGCUGCUGAUGCAGUGCAGCAACCAUCGUUUAAAUCCAGCUCCCAACAUGAGUAGUAAUGCAGAUUCCAACACUUCAGUCAGGUUACUGCAUUAUAAAAUGAUCUACAAUAUUUAAAAAUCUAAUAGUCGUUACUUCUAAAUCAAUCAGGUUACUAAAAAAGCUAAAAGAUAAACAUGUUGGGGAACAAUACAGGCAUGGUUUAUGAAAUGUUUCUUAUUAUCACUGUCUCUUUUUUUCCCCUUUAUUUUAAUUUCCUGUUGUGAUCAAAGAAAUCAAUUACAAGCAGUAAGAAAUUUGUUAUUCAAAAUGAACCAAUCAUCAGUUUUCUAUGUCUAUUCUUGUAACCUUCAUACAUUUUGCUUAUGUGUCGAUGUAAUGGUGUUUGUGUGCCUUUAGGCCGGACGGCAUGUCAUCUAGAUUUUUAUGUUAUAGUUAUGCUUAGCUGAGGUUAUUUUCCAUGUUAUAGUUAUGUUUUUUUUUUCUGUUAUGUGUAAUGUAGUAGUGUUUUGUGAA